GACGUAGGGCGCGAGCGUUGUCCGGAUUUAUUGGGCGUAAAGAGCUCGUAGGCGGUCUGUCACGUCGGAUGUGAAAAUCCAGGGCUUAACCCUGGACCUGCAUUCGAUACGGGCAGACUAGAGUUCGGUAGGGGAGACUGGAAUUCCUGGUGUAGCGGUGAAAUGCGCAGAUAUCAGGAGGAACACCGGUGGCGAAGGCGGGUCUCUGGGCCGAUAUUGACGCUGAGGAGCGAAAGCGUGGGGAGCGAACAGG
rnacentral:rRNA from 1 species